GGGAGUUUUAACCUUAAGACCUGAUUGUAAAAUGAUAGGUCGUUGUCACGUCAGCCUUUCUAAAUCUUCAAUAUAUGGCUUCUUUGGAGAACACACAAAGAUCAGCAGGAUAAAUCCAGCCCUCUGCUUUUUCCUGAUACACCGACUGUCAUUUGAAACUUGCAGAGGAGACUAAGAUAUUGGUCCAGCUGUACGACUGAGAAAACAGAAACUCAGAAGAAUCUUAAUCAAUGCCAUGCCAGCUCUGUUCAUGAAUGUAGCAGGUCAAAAGUGACUGAUGAUGUACGUGGGAGGAAACGUUAGGUCAUUUUGCUUUCUUUCAAGAACCUGAUCGUAAUUUGUCCAAACCUUUGGCUGGAAAAUAUUUUCCAUUAUUGCGGAUUUGCAACUAUUGGACUCUAUAUGAGCUUCAGGGUCUCUGUAAUCCUGGGAAAACCAGGCUGCCCACUAGCUCACUCUUAGUACAAAGAGUGUGCGACAUAACCCAGGACAACUUGAGUCCUUCUGUCCCUGAAGCUGAGGAGCUCUACCACACUAAGAAAAUCGAACAAACUGUGAAAAUAAAUCUG
rnacentral:lncRNA from 1 species